CAGUCGAGCGGACAGAUGGGAGCUUGCUCCCUGAUGUUAGCGGCGGACGGGUGAGUAACACGUGGGUAACCUGCCUGUAAGACUGGGAUAACUCCGGGAAACCGGGGCUAAUACCGGAUGGUUGUCUGAACCGCAUGGUUCAGACAUAAAAGGUGGCUUCGGCUACCACUUACAGAUGGACCCGCGGCGCAUUAGCUAGUUGGUGAGGUAACGGCUCACCAAGGCGACGAUGCGUAGCCGACCUGAGAGGGUGAUCGGCCACACUGGGACUGAGACACGGCCCAGACUCCUACGGGAGGCAGCAGUAGGGAAUCUUCCGCAAUGGACGAAAGUCUGACGGAGCAACGCCGCGUGAGUGAUGAAGGUUUUCGGAUCGUAAAGCUCUGUUGUUAGGGAAGAACAAGUGCCGUUCAAAUAGGGCGGCACCUUGACGGUACCUAACCAGAAAGCCACGGCUAACUACGUGCCAGCAGCCGCGGUAAUACGUAGGUGGCAAGCGUUGUCCGGAAUUAUUGGGCGUAAAGGGCUCGCAGGCGGUUUCUUAAGUCUGAUGUGAAAGCCCCCGGCUCAACCGGGGAGGGUCAUUGGAAACUGGGGAACUUGAGUGCAGAAGAGGAGAGUGGAAUU
rnacentral:rRNA from 1 species